CUGACAGAUAGAGCAGUG
rnacentral:snRNA from 1 species